rnacentral:antisense_RNA from 1 species
CUUGACCGACCCCAGCCACAACGGGUGGUCCGCGGAACGCUCCUGGCCGUACGUCGCCAGCAGCGCCUGCGCCUC